rnacentral:rRNA from 1 species
CUCAUCACCCUGUGACAUACCUAAAACGUUGCUUCGGCGGGAACAGACGGCCCUGUAACAACGGGCCGCCCCCGCCAGAGGACCCCUAACUCUGUUUUUAUAAUGUUUUUCUGAGUAAACAAGCAAAUAAAUUAAAACUUUCAACAACGGAUCUCUUGGCUCUGGCAUCGAUGAAGAACGCAGCGAAAUGCGAUAAGUAAUGUGAAUUGCAGAAUUCAGUGAAUCAUCGAAUCUUUGAACGCACAUUGCGCCCGCCAGUAUUCUGGCGGGCAUGCCUGUUCGAGCGUCAUUACAACCCUCAGGCCCCCGGGCCUGGCGUUGGGGAUCGGCGGAAGCCCCCUGUGGGCACACGCCGUCCCUCAAAUACAGUGGCGGUCCCGCCGCAGCUUCCAUUGCGUAGUAGCUAACACCUCGCAACUGGAGAGCGGCGCGGCCAUGCCGUAAAACACCCAACUUCUGAAUGUUGACCUCGAAUCAGGUAGGAAUACCCGCUGAACUUAAGCAUAUCAAUAAGCGGAGGA